rnacentral:rRNA from 1 species
CUACGGGGGGCAGCAGUGGGGAAUAUUGGACAAUGGGCGAAAGCCUGAUCCAGCGACGCCGCGUGGGUGAAGAAGGCCUGCGGGUUGUAAAGCCCUUUCGGUGGGGAUGAAAAGCCCUGAUUUAAUAAAUCAGAGUAUUGACCUAACCCAAGAAAGAAGCACCGGCUAACUCUGUGCCAGCAGCCGCGGUAAUACAGAGGGUGCGAGCGUUAAUCGGAAUUACUGGGCGUAAAGCGCACGUAGGUGGCUUUGUAAGUCGAUUGUGAAAUCCCCGGGCUUAACCUGGGAACUGCAGUCGAGACUGCUUUGCUUGAGUAUGGGAGAGGGAAGUGGAAUUUCCGGUGUAGCGGUGAAAUGCGUAGAUAUCGGAAGGAACAUCAGUGGCGAAAGCGACUUCCUGGACCAAUACUGACACUCAAGUGCGAAAGCGUGGGGAGCAAACAGGAUUAGAUACCCUCGUAGUC